UAUCUCCCAAUACAUGUUUUUUAUAUGGCGGGGGAACCACUCCAUGGCAGAGCCCUUAGGAGUCCCAUGGAACCUAAACCCCAGGGAGACUAGCACAACAACCCACCGCCAUGGCCUCCCAUUUAAAUCACAGUUUGAUCCCAGGAGGAAUCAAACCUGUGACAUGGGGCUCAUGCACACAAGUUCGCCCU